rnacentral:rRNA from 1 species
CCUACGGGAGGCAGCAGUGAGGAAUAUUGGUCAAUGGACGAGAGUCUGAACCAGCCAAGUAGCGUGAAGGAUGACUGCCCUAUGGGUUGUAAACUUCUUUUAUAUGGGAAUAAAAUGUUCCACGUGUGGGAUUUUGUAUGUACCAUAUGAAUAAGGAUCGGCUAACUCCGUGCCAGCAGCCGCGGUAAUACGGAGGAUCCGAGCGUUAUCCGGAUUUAUUGGGUUUAAAGGGAGCGUAGGUGGAUUGUUAAGUCAGUUGUGAAAGUUUGCGGCUCAACCGUAAAAUUGCAGUUGGAACUGGCAGUCUUGAGUACAGUAGAGGUGGGCGGAAUUCGUGGUGUAGCGGUGAAAUGCUUAGAUAUCACGAAGAACUCCGAUUGCGAAGGCAGUUCACUGGACUGCAACUGACACUGAGGCUCGAAAGUGUGGGUAUCAAACAGGAUUAGAUACCCGUGUAGUC